rnacentral:rRNA from 1 species
CCUGAGAAACCCAAAAGAUCGAAUGGGGAGAUUCAUCGUCAGCUUAUUUUGUAUAUAUAUGAGUUAUGAUAUGGGUUACUACUUGUAGUAUUGCCUAUACAUUCUUGUAUAUUUAAUUGCAAAAUUUUGUCGGCGUGCACUUCUCCCCUAGUAGGACGUCGCGACCCGUUGAGUGUCGGUCUACGGCCCAAGUGGUAGCCUUUAAUUUUUUCUUACGAAAAAAUUAAAGACCCUUGGUGUUUCCUGACUGGCUAUUCGGCGGUAUUCGUACGGUAUUAAGUCGCAUAUUAUUUUGUGCGUCCAUAUCCGUCGCAAGCGCGGUCAAUUUUUGGUAGUACGGACCUAGUGCCGUCGCUAUAAUUGAUCAGCUGUUGGUUGUACGGUAUUCUAGGACUGGCUUAAAAAUAAUAUACCGGUCAGCGAUGCUACUGCUUUGGGUACUUUCAGGACCCGUCUUGAAACACGGACCAAGGAGUCUAACAUGUACGCGAGUCAUUGGGAUUUUUUUUWAAAAUUAAACCUAAAGGCGUAAUGAAAGUAAAGAUUGUCCUUGCGACAAUUGAGGGAGGAUAAGUUGUGUUAAGAUACAGCUUCGCACUCCCGGGGCGUCUCAUUCUUAUUAUAAGAAGAGGCGCACCUAG